AUGGAUAGAACUUACUGUGUCGUCGAAUGCAAAGUCUGUGCACAGGAUCAGUGUGGGGAAAAUAGCAAACGGCCUGUCUUUUUACUCUUUUAUUGUAUGGAUACAACAUCAAGGGAGGCUAGUGUUCGACGUUAGACAGAGGAGAAGAAUGGCUUGGAUAUUUGCUGUUAGACGUGCACUAUGCUAAUGUCCCAAAUGCUUUGAAAGUGUGCUCCUGACAUUUUCAUUCCGCAUUAAGAUGAAGAACUGACAUCCACAUCGGGCUACAACCCUGCAUCUGGGUCACUCUGAACUCCAAGGCACAAUCUCAGACUGACUUGAGCACAGACAGCGUAGAUGUGGAGCAUCCAGGGGAAGAAUACUUUAUAAACAAAUAAGCCUAAAUGAAAAAAGAGAUAUGGAAUCCAAGCUGAGAUGUGAUGGCAUUCCUGAAGUGGUUGAUGGAUCCACCCAGACAGAGAAGAAGGAGGAUUGAACCAUUUUGUAAU